rnacentral:rRNA from 1 species
UACGGAGGGUGCAAGCGUUAAUCGGAAUUACUGGGCGUAAAGCGUGCGCAGGCGGUUUGUUAAGUCCGUUGUGAAAGCCCCGAGCUCAACUUGGGAAUUGCAGUGGAUACUGGCAGGCUGGAGUACGGUAGAGGAAGGUGGAAUUCCCGGUGUAGCAGUGAAAUGCGUAGAUAUCGGGAGGAACACCAGUGGCGAAGGCGGCCACCUGGACCAACACUGACACUGAGGCACGAAAGCGUGGGGAGCAAACAGG